rnacentral:rRNA from 1 species
UACGGGGGGAGCAAGCGUUGUUCGGAUUUACUGGGCGUAAAGGGCGCGUAGGCGGUCGUGACAAGUCACUUGUGAAAUCUCCGGGCUUAACUCGGAACGGUCAAGUGAUACUGUCGGACUAGAGUACAGAAGGGGCAACUGGAAUUCUCGGUGUAGCGGUGAAAUGCGUAGAUAUCAGGAGGAACACCAAUAGCGAAGGCAGCUCGCUGGGACGUUACUGACACUGAGGCGCGAAAGCGUGGGGAGCGAACAGG